GCUGCUGCUGCUGCUGCUGCUGCUGUUGCUGCUGCUGCUGCAGCAGCAGCAGCAGCAGAGAGAGGGGAGGAGGGCUGCCAGCGUUGGCCGCCCUUGCAGC
rnacentral:snoRNA from 1 species